rnacentral:lncRNA from 1 species
CUCAGCUGUUGUAAAUCACGACAACAUAGCCUAUGUUAGGCACUGCCCCCAUAUCAUUUAUCUCUGCAGUUAAAUGGUCUGUCACUGCUGUAUAAUUUAGGCAUCGUGGAGCUACAAGCUAUCCCAAAAAAUAGUAGCAGUGUAGCUGCAGUAAUAUGGAGCUCGGUGUGGGUUAACUGCUAAAAUAUUUGCCCGACUUCUUGAGCAGGUUUUACAACCCCUGCUAAUCUCCUCUAUGCAGCUGUAUCUCCAGAGUGUGGAUGCUGGCUGCGGACCAGUUUCAGGUGAGCUCUGGAUUAGUUAUGCAGCUCUGCCUGCUCAGUAGCAGCUGGUGUGGGUACAGGCUAGGACUGUGGCUGCUGUUCAGGGGCAGACCUGCUCGUCCACCCUCAGCCCUCACUCCUCUCAUUAUGCUGGAUACAGGAACUGAUCCUGCUGAAAAAUUGCCUACCAAAAAAGCUAUGACUUCUAUUUUUUCUAGCCAGACCAGGUCCUCAGCUCACUGCAGGAGUAGUUGUUUGUGCUGGGAUGUUACAGCAGGCAGAGGAGGUAGGAAGAGGAAGCAGCUGCUUCAGCCUGCAUCGAUGCUAACAGCAUCUCUCUCAUUCAGGAAAAAAAAGGCACAUGGCUCAGUACUACGUUUUGGUCCUGGAGCAAAAAGCCAUGCCUUAUUUGUAGUGUACUAAUUCUCUGAGGCUCCUGUGACCCACGCCUCUCCUGAACCCGAGUAACAGCAGUUCCUGCCAGCCUGCAGCAGCUCAGCACUUAGAAUUUCUGAAGCCUCCAUGCAAUGCUUAAUGUGUGGUUUGUGUUAAUAACACACAUUUAUAUCCAUUCUUGAACCAAAAUGACAUCAAAGAAUGACUUCGGUGUGAACUGACAUUGAGGAAUGUUACGGGUAAAUCAAUUCCUGAUUGAAAAGCAAUAGUAUUUCUAAUUCAGGCCAGAACAGGUAACACUUACUUUUGAGAACAGUUACAUAAACAAGAAAAAAAAAUGCAGUCGAAU